rnacentral:rRNA from 1 species
AUACGGAGGAUCCGAGCGUUAUCCGGAUUUAUUGGGUUUAAAGGGUGCGUAGGCGGGAGAUUAAGUCGGUGGUGAAAUUUUGCAGCUCAACUGUAAAAGUGCCAUUGAUACUGGUUUCCUUGAGUGUAGAUGAAGUAGGCGGAAUUUGUGGUGUAGCGGUGAAAUGCAUAGAUAUCACGAGGAACUCCGAUUGCGCAGGCAGCUUACUAAACCAUAACUGACGCUCAGGCACGAAGGCGUGGGGAUCAAACAGGAUUAGAUACCCUGGUAGUCCACGCAGUAAACGAUGAUUACUCGCUGUUUGCGAUACACAGCAAGCGGCUUAGCGAAAGCGUUAAGUAAUCCACCUGGGGAGUACGUUCGCAAGAAUGAAACUCAAAGGAAUUGACGGGG